CGUUCCCGGGCCUUGUACACACCGCCCGUCACGUCACGAAAGUCGGCAACACCCGAAGCCGGUGGCCCAACCCUUGUGGAGGAGCCGUCGAAGGUGGGGCUGGCGAUUGGGACG
rnacentral:rRNA from 1 species